AAGCAUAUCAAUAAGCGGAGGAAAAGAAACCAACAGGGAUUGCCCCAGUAACGGCGAGUGAAGCGGCAACAGCUCAAAUUUGAAAUCUGGCCCCUCGGGUCCGAGUUGUAAUUUGUAGAGGAUGCUUUUGGCAAGGCGCCGCCCGAGUUCCCUGGAACGGGACGCCACAGAGGGUGAGAGCCCCGUCUGGCUGGCCGCCGAGCCUCUGUAAAGCUCCUUCGACGAGUCGAGUAGUUUGGGAAUGCUGCUCAAAAUGGGAGGUAUAUGUCUUCUAAAGCUAAAUAUUGGCCAGAGACCGAUAGCGCACAAGUAGAGUGAUCGAAAGAUGAAAAGCACCUUGAAAAGAGGGUUAAAUAGUACGUGAAAUUGUUGAAAGGGAAGCGCUUGUGACCAGACUUGGGCGCGGCGGAUCAUCCGGGGUUCUCCCCGGUGCACUUCGCCGCGUCCAGGCCAGCAUCAGUUCGUCGCGGGGGAAAAAGGCUUCGGGAACGUGGCUCCCCUGGGAGUGUUAUAGCCCGUUGCACAAUACCCUGCGGUGGACUGAGGACCGCGCAUCUGCAAGGAUGCUGGCGUAAUGGUCACCAGCGACCCGUCUGAAA
rnacentral:rRNA from 1 species